ensembl:lncRNA
CUGCUAUUUAAAAGCAAAUCUGCUGUUACAAUUGCCAGUGAUCCUGAUCACUUUCUGUAUUUUCAGUUGAAAAUGAAGAUAAACAAUGAAGCAUUCUUAUCAAUUAUUUCAAAGCAUUUUACAAAAAAAAAAAAAAAAAUCAGGAUAAAAAUCUUUUUUAACUAAUGCAGAAACUUAGGAAGAGCAAAAAAAUGUGGAAAAAGAAAGGAAAACAUGAUUUUCUCAGUAUUACGAGGUAGGUAACCCAGGCACUAUGUGCUGCUGCUGUGGGACAAGGAGGGACAAAGCGGAAUCAGGUACCUUUGGAACUCUUACUUUAUAGCCCCACAUGGUCAUCCUUAGCCUGUGGAGGAAGGUAGCAGCCUGUGCUGCCUGCUUUCUCCUCCUCCCAUCUCAGGAUGAAAACUAGAAAAAAAAUGCUCUGUACUUGCAUUUCAAAGGCAUAGUCUAGUCCUUAGCAUGUGGUCUGAAUUAGAAAGAUAUUGCUGUAGUUAAUAUUAGAUUUUCAAGAAAAGUUCUUCUUUAUUUACUCGCAUCUUUUAAAAAAUCCAAAUUCAUAAUGUUGAAUGCACAAAUUUUAUUUCCUAUUAACACACUGUAUUCUUGAAUUGGUAGUAAAGAGAAUUUUAAACAACAGUGGCAGAUGGCCGAAUUACCCCUCCAGGGUGACUGGAAAGGAUGGUCACUGUUUUACUCGAUAGAUUAUGGUGAAGUGUAUUAAGAUAACAUGGACUGGGUGUGUAUUGUUGCAUUAGAAAUAAGACAUACAAUUUUGGCUAGAGUUUCUGUCUGCCCUCCCAUCUGAUCCAGAGAGCCACUAAUUUAGUACAAGUGUUCAUUAUGAAAAAUGUAAUAGACCUGAAGCUGGAUGACUGGGUCCUGGGAGCUAUUCAGCUAUUCCAUUAUUUUAUUUUAUCUUAUUUUACAGACACUGAGGAUUGUACCAUAUGUUUCUUUAACUGUAUUCCUGGUAAAAAUCUGAUUUUGAUUGGCACAAAUUGAACGUAUUCCAUAUAUCCUAACCUAUUACAGGUUAUCCUUACCCUAGCAAUUGAACUUUAGCUCUAAUUCAGAAGAAGAAAAAAAAAAAAAAGAAAAAAGAGUGCAAAGGCAAUCGUUUUCAUGUCUUUGCCAGAUGAAGCUGAAUAGAAGUACUGUCAGAGUAAGAAAUUCAGGAUUUGACCCUCUGAGUAGAUUUUAUUUUCAAAGCAGGUUCCCAGAAGCCACAGAGAAAAAAGGAAACAAAGCUAAAAUUGGGACAAGGUCAACUGGAUACAGAAGAGACUGUAACAAACCUAAAAUAGUUCUGUUAUUUUUGUUUCAGCUAAAGUUCACAGAAUUUUUAUUAAUAAUCUAACCUAGAUAUUUAGGCAGGAAUCAGACAGAACAACUUUUUAAUGACUGCCCAGCGGGAAGGUUAUAUUCAUAACUAGUGUUCAUAGUUCACUUCAUAUUUGACACUGACAGAUACAGUUACUGCCUUAAAUAUUGAAAGCCUAAGAAGUAUCCCUCUACAAACAGUAUAACACAUUACAGAGAGUUGAAGAAAUCUUUUGAGUGUAUUCAUUGCUUGGAAACAUAUAUAUUAUACAUACGUACAAACAAUGAGAAACACGUGUAUUUUAUCAGGAUAAGCUACACUUAUUUGCAACCAGUAUGGGUAGGAGAAGGAUCAGGUCUUAUUUUAACAUGAUAGAAAUGCAGACAGGGAAAAUUUUCUGAGCAGAAAUUCACACUUUCAAAUCAGUGGAUAGAGUUAAUUAAUCUUAAUUAAAAAAAAAAAAAAUGAAGAUACUAUUUUUACUUCAGACUCUUCUCUAAAGUAAUUAUACCACAGAUGAGGCAUAUACUUACUCUGAUACACCACCAACUUCCCCAAUUCCCCCCAGAAAGAAAAAUAAUAACAACAAAAACAACACUGCACUCCGAAAAGAAAAGAAAAGAAAAGAAAAGAAAAGAAAAGAAAAGAAAAGAAUACCAAAUUAGGCAUCGGAUAUCACGAGUCACAGUGGUACUCAGAGUUCCUUCUGCUGCUACGAAUAGAAAUUACUGUUAAAAGUCUCUCUGAAAAGUUGUCUGUAAUUCAGAAUUUGUUUUAUGUGCAAUUUAAAGUAGCUUAAAUUUAUUUGUUCUCUUUCAGAAGUUAUACUUUAACAUGAAAAACACCGAAGAGCAUAAAUUGUUCUUUAUUUAACAAUUUUAGAUCUGGGAAUAUUUCAUUUAGAUCUAUUCUAGAUUUUACUGCUGGUGUUAACAUGCAGGUAGUAUUCUGUCAUUCUUUCAUUUUUGCAAUGAUCUAACAGUGAAUUUUUCACUGAUGCAACAUGCAGAUAUUAUUCUUUUAUAUGCAUUUCAGUAAAUAUUAAACAAGUAUAUAAAAUAUAUGUAAAGGGUACUGGGAAUUUAGGGCCUACUCUGUAUGCUUAUGAUGGAGGUUGUUGUCCACUCUUCCGAAAGAUGACACUCGAGAAUUCAGAUGACAUGGAAAAUACAGAGGUUUUAAAUAGUGAUGCAGCUAAAAUGCAAAACUCAGCCAAUGACAGCAAUAUCCCUUCCAAACUCUUUUUAACAGACACAAACUACUAAAUCCUUUAACUACAGAAUUGAGUCUGACUGACAGCUGAAGAAAAGUACACCUGGUAUUCAGAGAUAAACACUCUCAGUGUCAUAAAAAGGUAUGCCAGAUCUAACCUUCAGCCUGGACUUAGAAUGUCACAGUACAAAGGAAAUAGUUUUGUUUUUAUUCUUUGUCAUUAACAGGCUGGCUGAGCCAGGAGUUGGCUCUAAGAGUUCCUUAAAAAUGAGAGCAAAAAUGUAAUGUAUUUACGUCCUAAUCACAAAAAUGCCAGAAUAGUCUGCAUACUUUGUUAAUAGUCCUAAUGCCUUUCCAGGAAGGACAUACAGAGUAGUCUCAUUGGGGUUACUCUUAGUGUUAAAAUCAUGGAUCUGUUAAAUGUGUUAGGAAAUUAUGAUCUUUACUGUAUAAUUAGUAAGAUCUCUUGAUUCUCAUUGCUUAAGAUCCCAGAAGCUGAUAGGAGCUACUUUCUCUAUUUUACAGUGGGUAAGCUUGGGUGCAUGAAGAUAGUCCUGCCAAAGGCCAGGCAGGGAAUCCUUAACAAAGCCCAGAGCCCUUUAAGUUUCAUCUGAGUACUUUAACUUCACAGCAGCAAUUUUUAUCACCCUUUUAAUUUCACUGAAAAAGCCUUUAAAUACUCAAUAUAAUAACAGGUGACUGAAGGAUGAUCUUGAGGUAACUUGAAAGGAGAAGAUUUUUCUGCUUUCCACCUUAAAAAAGCACGGGUAUAUUAAACAAUGAGAACUGACAACAAAGGUAAGCUAAAAGCUAAACAUAAUAAGACACUGUUUUCAGCAUUUCAAAAGAACUAAAUACAACACAUCAGCAGCUUCAAAAUCCUUUUGAACAAAUGCACUCAGAAACAACUAACUGGCAAACAAAGCUAUUAUGAAGAUGACAGUGUGGCCAGUGAUCUUUUGGCACAUCAACUCCAUAAAGUGUAGGCCUCUAGGAAUACUCCUCACAUUUCAGUAAGUAGAAAAGCAAAUUUAACAACAGAUACUGAGGUCAGGGUAUUAUAAUUUGUUGAUUUUUACAAAGUUUAAUAGAUGAGAAUGUCCCCAAAAUGAGAAGUAUAUCCCUUAUUUAUUGUUGAAGGGAUUUGAUUUACUUUAAAUUUUAAAGGAUCGAUACAGUGAUCAGAAUUUCAGAGUCCCAGUCACAAUACUUUAUAUUUAGAUUAAUUUUUAUUCUGCCAAAGCAAUAUAGAAGCAUCUUAAACAGCACUCAUAACAUAAGAUAGAUGUCCUGUACCCUAUCAUGUAUCAUAAUUAACUAAGUAAUUAAGCUGCUCUCAACAGACAGAUAGAAGAUCAUGCUAGUUUACGAAGACUACAAAGCAUGGUUCAAAUAAUACAUGGAAAUAACAACAUCCUUUGAAAAAUACAAGUCUUCUUUAGCUGCUGGUUUUGUGUAACUAUGCAUAAGAAGCUGUAUAGCAGAAAAAAAUCUUUCAGCCUCAGUAAUAAGGAAUGUCACUAAAAAAUAGGUAGGUAAUCAUGUCUCAUUAUCUUUCAAGAAUGUCACAGCAGAAUCAACACAGCUUCAGUGAGUAUACUGCUGGAUUGCUUCCCUUCUCAUAGCUUUCAGAAGGACUAUCAUUAUAUUUUCAGUAACAAAUCUUCACAAUUUGUAGGAUUGUAAAAAUGCUGAAUAAGAAUGUCCAUUAUUAAAAAGGAAGGAAUCAAAUUGAAUAGUUUUUCUAAUGUCAUAAACACCGCUGAGUCCACAACGUCCAUCUUCUAGGCUUUGAUUAAUAGAAGUCAUUAUAAACAUGCUUGAAUUUAACUUUCCUGAAUAGGAGGACUUUAAGGAUUAAUAUGGGCCUCUGGAAAUGAGAUACAAGAUGUUCUGAAGGAUGCUAACCUCUGACUGAACAGGACAGAAGACAACAAACAACAUAAUUAUCUUUAAUGUCACACAAGUGUGUAAUAUCACUCAAGCAUCUCUAGAGCUGUGCGGCAGAGCUGCGCCUAAAUCUGCUCUUCUGAUUCCCCAGUUUGGAUGAGAAAUUGUGUCUGCUCCUCAGAGAAAGAAAAAAAAUGAAGACUGGAGAAGAUGCAGUUAUCCCUUAUCCUCAUGAACCUCAUUUUAGCAGAUAAAAAGAUACUGAGUCUAGAGAGCAGAUGAGCUGGAUCCAUUACCACAUUUGUAUGACUUAUGGUGGUAGAACUAAUUAUGCCUUAUGGCACCAAAAUCUAGUAAUUCUUGCAGACGGCCCUUGUUCACGGUAAUCAGCCUAUUUGAGGGCAUUCUGCUUUUCAGUGUCCUUGUCAAUGCUAGCACAGAGAUAGAAACAUGCUGCUACAUGCUCAGAGCUCUCUUGGGGCUUUAGUCUCUUCAUUAUGUGUAGUCCAGGUGUGGCCUAUGACAGAGACCUUUGAAGAAACGGUCUAUACAACUUUAUAUAUUUGUUGAUGGGAGGCUUGGGAAGUAGUUCAACAGGCGGAUUUGUGCCUGUAGAAGUUUAUGGGCAUGUUGGUAAUUUGCACCAGGACUUCUGAGCUGCUUGCUAAUAUCCUUGCCAAAAGUCAUGGAGCUCAGAUUUACAUGGAGUAUAUUUGUCAUUAGGAUUGGUAUUCAUCAAAUGUAACCUCGGUAUCUUGUAUUACUAAAUGUUUUGAUGCGAGUUGUUUUAAUUUUUCCAGAGAUAACCCUGGACUUAUCUUUAAAGCACUCAACAUCCAAUCUCCUCCUGUUUUGCCUUUGCUUAGCUCUCAGCUCUCUGUGUUGAGUGUGAUUGGUGACCUUUUUAAAGAAAGGUAUCAUCACUAAAAGUCUCCUCAUUGACAGCAUCCAUACUCUUAUGUUUUGUAGCUAAUGGAUUUUUUACCAUCUAAAAUAUUAUACAAAGUUUUGUCCCAGUAAAAGCUCACAUGCAGCUGUAAAGUGAUGUCUGCAGCUUAAAGGAGUGUCCCCUCUAAGAGUCGCUGGCAUAUGGGUUUUUAUGUAUUAGGGUCUGUAAAUGAGAUACCACUUGCAAAGAUUAACCAUGUUUCAGGGCUGUGUGCCAGAUGGUAAAAACCAUAUGAGUUGUGGAGUCCUUAGAGAUUUUUUUUUUUUUAGUUUGUUUUUGUUUAUCAUAGAGAAUAUGCUUCUGGGUUCAUAAAGUUUCAGCAUGUUCUUUCUAACGCGUCAUGGAGAAAGAAGUAUUAACUCUAUCCUGAAUCCAGGCCACCGACAGCUAUAAAAAUAGCCUUUAAAAGAGGAGGUAGGCAGCCUAUUUCCUGGGAGAAAAAAAUAGCGGUUUUAAAAUACUUUCUGUGUUGAUGCUAAAAUUAAUGGGUUGUUAUUGUUAUUCUCUGAAAUGAUCUAUUCAGAAGAUAAAGCAAUAUUUUUUGAAACGAAUGUAUUUAAAUACUCUGCUCACGCUGUUUGCCUGGUUAUGUAGUAUUGUUCUUACUACAAUGAACUACGCGUGCUUGGGUGUAAGCUUGCAUUCAAAUAGUACCACAGAGCAGCUUCCCCAGUCAGAUAUACAAAUAACUGGAGAUAUGUGAAAGCCAUGGUGAUGUGAGGCCACAGGCCAGGCAAGCCAAUGCAAGUCAUGGCACACAGCCAGCUUUAACAAGACUCUUCAGUGUACCCUGCUUGGGAGUAAGGCUUGCUGUGUAUGGUCUCUAGGAAGGUGAUGAACCCAUGAUUUUUAGCACAGAUAAAAAGGACACACCGUAAGUUAUCUAAUUGGACAGCAGAAUUUCCAUUUUCUUUGCUUGUGGAAAUUUACCUAACAACAACCUCCAUGUUGGAAAGCAGGCAGCAGCCACACAAGAUCCAUGGAGAUGCAGGAUGGAAAGGACCCUGAAGGCAGUGAGGCCCAGGCCGGCCUCGUGUGGGACGAACCGCAGCCCGUACCGCUUCCAUUGCCCGUAAUACGGAGGUUUGCCCUCGUCGCUGCGGUUUCGCUGCGGUUUCAGCCACCGCCGCGGAGCGCCCGGAGUCCGCUGGGGUCGGUCGGCAG